rnacentral:rRNA from 1 species
AUUGAACGCUGGCGGCAUGCUUUACACAUGCAAGUCGAACGGUAACAGGGUGCUUGCACCGCUGACGAGUGGCGAACGGGUGAGUAAUGCGUCGGAACGUGCCGAGUAGUGGGGGAUAACGCAGCGAAAGUUGUGCUAAUACCGCAUACGUACUGAGGUAGAAAGUGGGGGACCUUCGGGCCUCACGCUAUUCGAGCGGCCGACGUCUGAUUAGCUAGUAGGUGAGAUAAAGGCUCACCUAGGCGACGAUCAGUAGCGGGUCUGAGAGGAUGAUCCGCCACACUGGGACUGAGACACGGCCCAGACUCCUACGGGAGGCAGCAGUGGGGAAUUUUGGACAAUGGGCGAAAGCCUGAUCCAGCCAUGCCGCGUGUCUGAAGAAGGCCUUCGGGUUGUAAAGGACUUUUGUCAGGGAGGAAAUCCCUAGCGUUAAUACCGCUGGGGGAUGACAGUACCUGAAGAAUAAGCACCGGCUAACUACGUGCCAGCCGCCGCUAAUAC